UUUGAUAUCGAAAAAUUCUUUUAUCUCGAAAUCUGAAAAAUAUUCACUUUGUUAUAUCAUAUUACUAGUAAAAAAAAUGGCAGGUAUGCUAGCUGGUGUUGAAUGUGCUAGAAGAAGAAAAUUUCAUAAAAAUAAUGGAAUGUUUGAUUCAUCAUAUAAUAUAUCUUCAUCCACAAGAAGAUCUUUUCUAUGUCUAUACACAAGUAGCCAUGAACAUAACCUUACAUCAAGAUUAUCCCAGGAAAGAAAUGCAACAAGCCAAGAAUAUGAAGAUGAGAAAUUAGGUGAAGUUGCAAGAGAAGCCAAACAAAGAUUGGAUGAGAGGCUCAGUUCCCAAUGGAAAUCACAAAAUAAGAGGGUUGCCAAGGGAUACAAAAGUCUAGGGCAAUGGAGGGGCCUGAUUAGCUGACAAAUGGUUUGGCCAAUAUUCAAAGUUGUAGUUUGAGAAAGAAAAGGCUAUUUUUAAUACACCGAGGGGUCGUUUCGUUACUGUAUAAGACACAUUUUAUUCAUGUAUAAAUGUAUUUUUGCUUUUUAAGAGUGCUCUUAGUGGACUUGCAAGUAGUGUAUAAGAUUUCUUGUAAUGAACCUAAUUGACUUGGUAAUAUGUAUUUGAUAAAAGUAUACAAGGGCCGGUUUAGCUAUGCAAUAUGAUAUCAUGAUAUGGAAUAAUGACAUGAAACUAAAGUUUUGUUUGGACAUGCGAUAUGGA
rnacentral:misc_RNA from 1 species